ensembl:misc_RNA Metazoa_SRP Metazoan signal recognition particle RNA
AUGGUAGCAUGCCUGUAGUCCCAGCUACUUGGGAGGCUGAGGUGGAUUGCUUGAGCCCAGGAGCUCUGGGCAGUACUGCAUUAUGCUGAUCAGGUGUCCACACUAAAUUCAGCAUCAAUAUGGCAACCUCCCAUGAACAAAGGACCAUCAGGUUGCCAAAGGAGGAGUGAACUGGCCCAGGUUAGAAAUGGAGCAGGUCAAAACUCCUGUGCUCAUCAGUAGUGGGAUCAUGCCUGUCCCAAUGUUUUGGGAGGCCAAGACGGGAAGAUCACUUGAUACCAGAGGUUCAAACCCAGUUUGAGCAACAUAGAGAGACCCCCAUCUCU